rnacentral:rRNA from 1 species
GGCUCAGAUUGAACGCUGGCGGCAGGCUUAACACAUGCAAGUCGAGCGGGGAAGGGUAGCUUGCUACCUGACCUAGCGGCGGACGGGUGAGUAAUGCUUAGGAAUCUGCCUAUUAGUGGGGGACAACAUUCCGAAAGGAAUGCUAAUACCGCAUACGCCCUACGGGGGAAAGCAGGGGAUCUUCGGACCUUGCGCUAAUAGAUGAGCCUAAGUCAGAUUAGCUAGUUGGUGGGGUAAAGGCCUACCAAGGCGACGAUCUGUAGCGGGUCUGAGAGG